rnacentral:tRNA from 1 species
GGAAGCGUGCCCGAAAACUAAGGACCUCCUUGAUAAGGAGGUUUAUAGGGGUUUAAACCCCCUCACUUCCC